rnacentral:rRNA from 1 species
GGAUCCGCGCUGCAUUAGCUAGUUGGUAAGGUAACGGCUUACCAAGGCAACGAUGCAUAGCCGACCUGAGAGGGUGAUCGGCCACACUGGAACUGAGACACGGUCCAGACUCCUACGGGAGGCAGCAGUAGGGAAUCUUCCGCAAUGGGCGAAAGCCUGACGGAGCAACGCCGCGUGAGUGAUGAAGGUCUUCGGAUCGUAAAACUCUGUUAUUAGGGAAGAACAUAUGUGUAAGUAACUGUGCACAUCUUGACGGUACCUAAUCAGAAAGCCACGGCUAACUACGUGCCAGCAGCCGCGGUAAUACGUAGGUGGCAAGCGUUAUCCGGAAUUAUUGGGCGUAAAGCGCGCGUAGGCGGUUUUUUAAGUCUGAUGUGAAAGCCCACGGCUCAACCGUGGAGGGUCAUUGGAAACUGGAAAACUUGAGUGCAGAAGAGGAAAGUGGAAUUCCAUGUGUAGCGGUGAAAUGCGCAGAGAUAUGGAGGAACACCAGUGGCGAAGGCGACUUUCUGGUCUGUAACUGACGCUGAUGUGCGAAAGCGUGGGGAUCAAACAGGAUUAGAUACCCUGGUAGUCCACGCCGUAAACGAUGAGUGCUAAGUGUUAGGGGGUUUCCGCCCCUUAGUGCUGCAGCUAACGCAUUAAGCACUCCGCCUGGGGAGUACGACCGCAAGGUUGAAACUCAAAGGAAUUGACGGGGACCCGCACAAGCGGUGGAGCAUGUGGUUUAAUUCGAAGCAACGCGAAGAACCUUACCAAAUCUUGACAUCCUUUGACAACUCUAGAGAUAGAGCCUUCCCCUUCGGGGGACAAAGUGACAGGUGGUGCAUGGUUGUCGUCAGCUCGUGUCGUGAGAUGUUGGGUUAAGUCCCGCAACGAGCGCAACCCUUAAGCUUAGUUGCCAUCAUUAAGUUGGGCACUCUAAGUUGACUGCCGGUGACAAACCGGAGGAAGGUGGGGAUGACGUCAAAUCAUCAUGCCCCUUAUGAUUUGGGCUACACACGUGCUACAAUGGACAAUACAAAGGGCAGCGAAACCGCGAGGUCAAGCAAAUCCCAUAAAGUUGUUCUCAGUUCGGAUUGUAGUCUGCAACUCGACUACAUGAAGCUGGAAUCGCUAGUAAUCGUAGAUCAGCAUGCUACGGUGAAUACGUUCCCGGGUCUUGUACACACCGCCCGUCACACCACGAGAGUUUGUAACACCCGAAGCCGGUGGAGUAACCUUUUAGGAGCUAGCCGUCGAAGGUGGGACAAAUGAUUGGGGUGAAGUCGUAACAAGGUAGCCGUAUCGGAAGGUGCGGCUGGAUCACCU